rnacentral:rRNA from 1 species
CAGCAGCCACGGGAACACGGAGGGAGCUAGCGUUGUUCGGAAUUACUGGGCGUAAAGCGCGCGUAGGCGGUUACUCAAGUCAGAGGUGAAAGCCCGGGGCUCAACCCCGGAACUGCCUUUGAAACUAGGUGACUAGAAUCUUGGAGAGGUCAGUGGAAUUCCGAGUGUAGAGGUGAAAUUCGUAGAUAUUCGGAAGAACACCAGUGGCGAAGGCGACUGACUGGACAAGUAUUGACGCUGAGGUGCGAAAGCGUGGGGAGCAAACAGGAUUAGAUACCCCUGUAGUCCCUGUCUCUUAUAC